UUUUCACACAUGCUCUCUUUCUCACUUCUGCACACGCUCACCUCCCAGUGAGCAGCUGGAGAAGCGGAACGACGCUAAGAACAUGCAACACCAGGCUGGAGACCAAUAGAAGGGGUUUGGGCCCACUCUGCUUCUUUUCCAGGAGAGGAGCAGGAGGAGGAGGAGGAAAGGGUGUCGUGACAAAGGCUGCAGCUGUCUUUUCUGCUUCUUUUGAAGAAAGGAGAAAAAUGACAUAAUGGCUUUUAUGCUCAGGGGGAGAAACACGACCUUUUCACCUACCUGGAACACCAACUUUAUGGAACAUUUCUAAAGACGCAGAACUUAGCUCAUUAGUGAGCAUCAGUAAAACAGGAUUUGUUCACAGUGGCUAAGUUCAGUGUCUGACAGGAAAAAAUCUGCUCCUGCAUACCUGAGGCUCCUGGCUGCCCAUAACACCUUAGAGCUGAUGGGAGAGGAAUGAGUGCCAUUUAAAAGCUCCUGUACUGUAAAAAGUAGUGGAAUGCUGCAAAAGUCUUUGCAUGUCCUGACAAGUUAUGUUGAAAUCAGCUUGAAGAUAAAGAAUAAUAAGAAAACAUGCUAAAUUAGGAAGAAUGAGAGCAAAACAAUACAUGAAUGCAAUUUGGUUGUUUGCUUUUUAUCACACUGAAUGUAAAUUGCAGAGGGAUAACUGAUUCUUUGUGUCAAAGAUGUAAAGACAGAUAUGAUGUAAGUCGAUGAAAAUGCAACUUUGCAGGAUUUAAAAAAGAGCUGUUGCUUGUUAAAAGUUUGCCUUCAGUUAUUUUUGGAGAAUUCGUCACACUCAGCUAUAUUUCGGUUGUUUACUCAUGUGCCUACUGAACUGGAAUCAGUGUAUCUUUGCAGAACUGGCUCAGUCCAGCAGGAACAAGUGUGACACCUAAUGAGAGUUCAUUGCUUCCUCCAUCAAAGCCAUCACCAGCAGCAACACACCAGAGAUGACCACUCAUAUUUGUAUCCAUUUUAAAGUGUCACACUGGGACGGAUGACAAAAUUAAAUGAAGUAUGUUCUCCUCUUCCCUAA